rnacentral:misc_RNA from 1 species
GGAAAGACAAGAUUCUGUAUACAGCGGACUUCAGGAAGUUGAUUCAAACUCCAAACUCGCAUGCAUCCAUGACUCUGCAAGACCUCUUGUACAAAUUGAAGAUGUAGAAAAGGUCCUGAAGGAUGGUUGGCUGGUUGGAGCAGCAGUUCUUGGUGUUCCUGCCAAAGCUACAAUCAAAGAGGCAAACAGUGAAUCUUUCGUUGUGAAGACUCUUGACAGGAAAACACUUUGGGAAAUGCAGACACCUCAGAUAAUCAAACCUGAGUUGCUUAAGAAGGGUUUCGAGCUUGUCAACAGGGAAGGACUUGAAGUAACAGAUGAUGUAUCAAUAGUGGAGCACCUUAAACAUCCAGUAUAUAUUACUGAAGGCUCUUACACUAACAUAAAGGUUACAACGCCUGAUGAUUUGCUUCUUGCAGAAAGAAUAUUGAAUAUUGAAGAAUCUUAGGGUUUUCAAUUUUCUUAGGCUUUUUUUUU